AGUCUAAUGUAUAAAUAUAUUAGAUAAUUUCUGCUCAAUGAAUUUUAAAUAGCCGCAGUACUUUGACUGUGCAAAGGUAGCAUAAUAAUUUGGCUUUUAAUUGAAGUCUAGAAUGAAUGAAUUUUUGAAUAUUAACUAUCUUAUUUAUUUUUUUUUUAAUUUAAUAUAUUAGGUGAAAAUUCCUAUAAUAUUAAAAAAAGACGAGAAGACCCUUGAAAUUUUAAUUAUUUAAUUAAAAGUUAAAUAUUCAUUUUUGUUGGGGCAACAAAAUUACAAAUAAAUAAAUUAAUUUAGUUUUUAUACAUAAGAAGAGUUAUAUUAAGUAAAAAUAAAUUACUCUAGGGAUAACAGCAUAAUUUUUUUAAAAGAUUGUGACCUCGAUGUUGGACUAGGAUAUCUUAAAUUUAAAAGACUUAAGAUAAAAGUUCUGUUCGAACUUAAAUUCCUACAUG
rnacentral:rRNA from 1 species